GCGCAGCAGGCGCGAAACCUCCGCAAUACACGAAAGUGUGACGGGGCCAUCCCGAGUGCCGUCCGCUGAGGACGGCUUUUCCCCAGUGUACAUAGCUGGGGGAAUAAGGAGAGGGCAAGCCUGGUGUCAGCCGCCGCGGUAAUACCAGCUCUCCGAGUGGUGGGGACGCUUAUUGGGCCUAAAGCAUCCGUAGCCGGCUGGGCAAGUCCUCCGUUAAAUCCAACGAUUCAAUCGUUGGGCUGCGGGGGAUACUGGUCCAGCUUGGGGGCGGGGGAGGCCGACGGUAUUCCCGGGGUAGGGGUGAAAUCCUAUAAUCCCGGGAGGACCACCAGUGGCGAAGGCUGUCGGCUAGAACGCGCCCGACGGUGAGGGAUGAAAGCUGGGGGAGCGAACCGGAUUAGAUA
rnacentral:rRNA from 1 species